UACGUAGGUGGCAAGCGUUAUCCGGAAUUAUUGGGCGUAAAGAGCGCGCAGGUGGUUGAUUAAGUCUGAUGUGAAAGCCCACGGCUUAACCGUGGAGGGUCAUUGGAAACUGGUCGACUUGAGUGCAGAAGAGGGAAGUGGAAUUCCAUGUGUAGCGGUGAAAUGCGUAGAGAUAUGGAGGAACACCAGUGGCGAAGGCGGCUUCAUGGUCUGUAACUGACACUGAGGCGCGAAAGCGUGGGGAGCAAACAGGAUUAGA
rnacentral:rRNA from 1 species